AAUAGACAGCUGAGCGAGUGAGGCAAAACACCUUUAAGAGAAUACUUUCCACUGUCUCCCCAAGGAAGCCCUAGAAGAUUGGUCUCAGCAGUUCAGGAAAGCAGUGAUUUAUUCCUGCCUCCUCUGGGCAGCACUGCCACCCUGACAGCAGCUCUCAGGUACAAGAAGUGAAGAACAGUCGGACAGAAGGUGGAGGGAUAAGUUCUUAGCUAACCGUGGAGGCAACAUCUGCAGCACCAGGGCAGUCCCAGCAGCUGCAAACCAGUGUCUCAGGUGGACUCACCACAUGGUCGUGGGCGGCUCAUUAGAGCUCUCAUUACGGCUCCAGACUGCAGUAAAGCUGGCUCAACAGUUUUCCUUUACCCACUUGUACGAGCAUAAAGUCUAACACUGCAAUAGAGUGUUUUCUUUUAAUUCGUGGUAGAGGGCAUUUUCAGGGGAAACAGAGUACGGAGGUGAAAGGUGGAUGAAAUAUGUAAGCAUGUGGUAGGGUCUGAAACCUCUUUAGUAGCACAUCAUGACCAAAUCACUUAAGCGCUGCUGGGCUUUCAGUCUAGCAGGCUGUAAAUAGU